rnacentral:rRNA from 1 species
GACGAACGCUGGCGGCGUGCUUAACACAUGCAAGUCGAACGAAGUGGCGAACGGGUGAGUAACGCGUAAUCAACCUGCCCUCCAGUGGCGUACAACAGCUGGCAACGACUGCUACUACCUCAUACCCAAGGAGGGGACUGCGUCUGAUUAGCUAGUUGGGGGGGUAACGGCCCACCAAGGCGAUGACCAGUAGCCGGUGUGAGAGGGGGGACGGGCACAAUGGGACUGAGACACGGGCCAAAAGCAUACGGAAGGCAGCAGUGGGGAAACUUCCGCGAUGGAGGAAAAGCUGACGGAGCAACGCCGGGUGGGUGAUGACGGGCUUCGGGUUGUAAAGGUCUGUUAAUCGGGAGGCGGUACCGGAAUAAAAAGCCACGGCUAACUACGUGCCAGCAGCCGCGGUAAUAC